rnacentral:lncRNA from 10 species
AAAGCAGGAUUGGGCAGAGGGAGAGGCUGAACUGUGACGUAGUUGCAACAGAGGCCUCAACCAAUGUCACAGUGCACUGUGAAGCAGGAAUAGUUCCUCAGAGAUGUCCCAAAUUUAGGCAAGGGGAAAGAGCUUUUGAAGAUUCCUUUUUGUAGGGCUGUCCCUAUCCGAGGCUGCUUUCGGAGGUGAUUUUCCUGUCAUAAUUUUCUUUCCGAUCCCUUCUCCCUACACCCUUCCCCCGGGUGAGGCUAUAGUGCAAUAGCAGCCAAUUUUUGGCUGGCACACACAUACUGAGCCAGUACACCUGUGAACUAAGCUUGGACUUUUUUCGCCUCUGUCCUUUGGUGUAUGGCACCACCUGCUAUAGGUGUCAGCUGAAGGAGAGGCAAGUUUGCAACACUGCUGAGCUAUGAUCGUACCACUACACUCCAGCCUGGUGACAGAGCAAGAUGCUGAAAAAAGAAAGAGGAAAGAGAAAGAAAGAAAGAAAGAAAGAAAGAAAGAAAGAAAGAAAGAAAGAAAGAAAGAAAGAGAGAAAAGAGAAUUUCUGUGACCUCAAAACAGGCUUUGGAAAAUAAGUGGUGGAUUUCAAGUUAAUCCAAGGAACCAAGAACCCUGCUGAAGGCUUGAAAAAAUGAUGUUGUGGUUUCCUAAAAGAAAAAGAGGAGUUAAAAGACCCUGCUGAAAAUGCC